rnacentral:rRNA from 1 species
GACGAACGCUGGCGGUGUGCUUAACACAUGCAAGUCGAACGGUAAGGCCCUUUCGGGGGUACACGAGUGGCGAACGGGUGAGUAACACGUGAGUAACCUGCCCUCAUCUCUGGGAUAACAGUCGGAAACGGUUGCUAAUACUGGAUAUGAGCUUGCAAGGCAUCUUGUGGGUUGGAAAGAUUUUUUUGGUUGGGGAUGGACUCGCGGCCUAUCAGCUUGUUGGUGAGGUAGUGGCUCACCAAGGCUUCGACGGGUAGCCGGCCUGAGAGGGCGACCGGCCACAUUGGGACUGAGGUACGGCCCAAACGCCUACGGGAGGCAGCAGUGGGGAAUAUUGCACAAUGGACGGAAGUCUGAUGCAGCAACGCCGCGUGCGGGAUGACGGCCUUCGGGUUGUAAACCGCUUUCAAUUGUGACGAAGCUUUUUGUGACGGUAGCAGUAGAAGAAGCACCGGCUAACUACGUG